rnacentral:rRNA from 1 species
GGGCCGCGUCACGGCGCGGCCCCGCACUCCCGGGGCGUCUUGUUCUCAUUGCGAGAAGAGGCGCACCAAGAGCGUACACGCUGGGACCCGAAAGAUGGUGAACUAUGCCUGGUCAGGACGAAGUCAGGGGAAACCCUGAUGGAGGUCCGAAGCGAUUCUGACGUGCAAAUCGAUCGUCGGAACUGGGUAUAGGGGCGAAAGACUAAUCGAACCGUCUAGUAGCUGGUUCCCUCCGAAGUUUCCCUCAGGAUAGCUGGCACUCGCUUUUGCGAGUCUCAUCUGGUAAAGCGAAUGAUUAGAGGCAUUGGGGUCGAAACGGCCUCAACCUAUUCUCAAACUUUAAAUGGGUGAGAUCUCCGGCUUGCUUGAAACGUGAAGCCGCGAGAUCGGAUCAGAGUGCCAAGUGGGCCAUUUUUGGUAAGCAGAACUGGCGCUGUGGGAUGAACCAAACGCAGAGUUAAAGCUCCAAAAUCGACGCUUAUGGGAUACCAUGAAAGGCGUUGGUAACUUAAGACAGCAGGACGGUGGCCAUGGA